rnacentral:rRNA from 1 species
UACGUAGGGACCAAGCGUUGUUCGGAUUUACUGGGCGUAAAGGGCGCGUAGGCGGCGCGGUAAGUAACUUGUGAAAUCUCUGGGCUUAACCCAGAAAGGUCAACUGAUACUGCGGGGCUAGAGUGCAGAAGGGGCAACUGGAAUUCUCGGUGUAGCGGUGAAAUGCGUAGAUAUCGAGAGGAACACCUGCGGCGAAGGCGGGUUGCUGGGCUGACACUGACGCUGAGGCGCGAAAGCUAGGGGAGCGAACGGG